GGUUGAUCCUGCCAGUAGUCAUAUGCUUGUCCUAAAGAUUAAGCCAUGCAUGUCUAAGUAUAAACACGUUGUACUGUGAAACUGCGAAUGGCUCAUUAUAUCAGUUAUAAUUUAUUUGAUAGUCUCUUUACUACUUGGAUAACCGUGGUAAUUCUAGAGCUAAUACAUGCAAAAAGCCCGACUUUUCGGAAGGGCUGUAUUUAUUAGAUUAAAAACCAACAUGCUUGGUGAUUCAUAAUAACUGUGCGGAUCGCAUGGCCUUGUGCUGGCGACGUUUCAUUCAAAUUUCUGC
rnacentral:rRNA from 1 species